AGACCCCCCACUUUAGGUCAGGCAGCACCAUGUCCUGUAUUUGUUAAAAAAUAUAUAAAAAAAUAUAUAUAUAUAUAUAUAUAUUGCCAUUCACUCUAAAAACGAAGCUGAAUACGUAAAUCCUCUUUUAAGAAAAGUAAUAUUGUUUCAUUUUUACAAUUUAUUCUCAAUAGCUGCAAAUGUUAAAUAACACCAAGAUUAAAAUCGCCAACAGC
rnacentral:lncRNA from 1 species